rnacentral:tRNA from 1 species
AAAGACUUAAGUUAAAACAAACCUAAGACCUUCAAAGCCUUAAAUAGAAGUAAUAAACCUCUAGUCUUUG